GAUGAACGCUGGCGGCGUGCCUAAUACAUGCAAGUCGAACGCGAGCAGCAAUGCUCGAGUGGCGAACGGGUGAGUAAUACAUAAGUAACCUGCCCUAGACAGGGGGAUAACUGCUGGAAACGGCAGCUAAUACCGCAUAAGACCACAGCACCGCAUGGUGCAGGGGUAAAAACUCCGGUGGUAUGAGAUGGAUCCGCGUCUGAUUAGCUAGUUGGUAAGGUAACGGCUUACCAAGGCAACGAUCAGUAGCCGACCUGAGAGGGUGACCGGCCACAUUGGGACUGAGACACGGCCCAA
rnacentral:rRNA from 1 species